rnacentral:rRNA from 1 species
GACGAACGCUGGCGGCGUGCUUAACACAUGCAAGUCGAACGGGCCUGUCUUCUUUUUUGGGGGGUGGGUUGAGUGGCGAACGGGUGAGUAUCACGUGAGUAACCUGCCCUUCGGUCCUGGAUAACCGCUUGAAAGGGCGGCUAAUACGGGGUGGUCCGGUUGGUCCGCAUGGGCUGGUCGGGAUAGAUUCACUGUUUUUGGUGUUUCGGCGGGGGAUGGGCUCGCGGCCUAUCAGCUUGUUGGUGGGGUGAUGGCCUACCAAGGCGGUGACGGGUAGCCGGGCUGAGAGGGUGGGCGGCCACACUGGGACUGGGAUACGGCCCAGACUCCUGCGGGAGGCAGCAGUGGGGGGUAUUGCACAAUGGGCGGAAGCCUGAUGCAGCGACGUCGCGUGAGGGAUGGAGGCCUUCGGGUUGUGAACCUCUGUUUCCGGUGGUGAAGGCCCUGUCCGUGUGGUGGGGUUGACGGUAGCCGGGGAUGAAGCGCCGGCUAACUACGUG